ensembl:lncRNA
UGGACUGAAAUAGCAGACGGUGUGUUUUAUGACAAUUUGACAAAAUGUUUCAUUUUUUUUUUAAAACAAAGGUGACCUUGGACGACAUGGGACAGGACCACAAUAUAAACAGUGCUCUAGGAGAUACAAUGCCCUGAGAAAGCUUACAAGACAAGUAAUGAUAUAGUUUGUACCAUAACAGUAAAUUGUGUUUGUUUUGUUGUACUGCUAAAUUAUGUCAGGAAUGUCUUUGUAUCCUUUCUCAGAACAUUACACAGGACAACAAAACUCAAGGAAUAAUGGAAAAGAGCCAGUGGGACUUGAAACAUAUUCGUUUUACUUCUGGCCGGCUCACCAGGCUUGAUGACUUUGUAGCCCAGUAUCAGAUUAGCCACACUGCACUCCUGAAGGAGUAUGAGGACUCAGAAAGAGUUUUCCGAAGGAAGACUUACAGAGUAGAACAAGAAAGAUGGAAAGAAAAGCAACAGAAAAAACGGGGAACAUAUGUCACACCAAUCCGCAAGCCUUUCCCUUUCAAGACAUCAAAAAAGAAGUCCUCAGUGUCUGAGGGUCCCAUUGCAAAACAAAGCUCGCCACCACAGCCAAUGUCAUCCCUGGAGGGGGACCAUGAAAACAUUGUGGAUAAAAAGGCUGUACAUAGGGAGAUCUCAAACAAACCUAAGGCAACAGUGAAGACAACAGCAACCCCACAGCAUCAACUCACCUCUUUGUGGAAAAGGAGAGACACUGAGGUUGUGGUUUCUGUGAUCCCUACACAAACCAAAGGAACAUCAAUUGUCAUUCGUCACAGUGAGCUGCGUACACUUAGGCCACACCAGUGGCUAACUGGCGAGAUAAUUGAAGCCCUGUUUCAUAUUGCUGCCAGUGAGCUACAGAUCAGGAAUUCCAUUUACAUUCUUGAUCACUACACAGCAGGUGUGAUUCUGUUUGGGGAAAGACCUCAGCUUGCCCGGCAAAGUUUGUCAAAGGUAGUUAUGGUGGACGG